CCAACGGCCCUUUUUAGGGCCAUAAAUUUUGAUUUUCGUCCACGU
rfam:Clonorchis sinensis DNA, contig: CSINDRAFTv2.0_contig_3564.